GAAAAGCGAGGCCCUGGAGAACCUCUUUGGCUCCUGGAAUAGCAGCAGCCCUGCUACUUCUCUACCCUCCAAGUCCAGGCUUCUCUGCAGCUGAGAGCAGCUCCUGUGCAGCCAUUCACUUGAGCAUCUAAUCAGCCUGCAAAGUGCAGAUGGGGAUCUAGGGCUUCUACCUUGACAUUUGGAUCAUAGAUAGUGGAGACCAAACAAUCCCAACUAUGAAGAGAUAAAGAGACUGAACUUCAGCAUGGAGAGCUGCAUCAAACAGUGUCUGUCUUUGAAGGAUAUUGAGACAACAGAUUUGGAGGACAAGGGAGUUUGUAUAUACCUUCUGCCUAUCGGAGAUGAAUUAUAAGCCAACUCUGGCAAAGAUAGGAAUGGAACCAGAAUAUCCCAGCAAAAAUGAUUGAUGACAUCUUGAAUUUCUCUCAGAAAGAGAUGAAUAUGCAAGGACAGUAGUAAGUGAUCUGCUAAGGUACUGAAGAAAGAGGUAGGGUUUGCUUAAACCACAAGCAUAAUAAAAAUCCAGGGCACAUCAAAGGCCAUGUCUGUUCUAGUCAUUUUGACAAAGCUCAGGUUUCUGGUAGCUGUUGGUAAAUGGAUUUUUGAUCAUUCAGGAGUCUGUGAUAGGUAGUCACACUUAAAAUAUAUUUUUCACCUAUAUAACCUCUAGGGUUUGAAACUGCUGUUACUAUUGUUUAAUCGCUUCAGUUGCAUCCAACUCUGUGAGACCCUAUGGACUGUAG
rnacentral:lncRNA from 1 species